CACGGGGGUUGCGAGCGUUGUCCGGAAUUACUAGGCGUAAAGGGCAGGCAGGCGGAUCCAUAAGUUUAUCGUUUAAGGCGUCGGCUUAACCGGCGUAGGGCGGUAGAUCCUGUGGAUCUGGAAUGCGGUUGGGGAAGACAGAAUUCCUGGUGUAGCGGUGGAAUGCGCAGAGAUCAGGAGGAAUACCGAAGGCGAAGGCAGUCUUCCAAGCCGUUAUUGACGCUCAACUGCGAAGGUGUGGGUAUCAAACAGGAUUAGAUACCCCCGUAGUCCCUGAGCGGG
rnacentral:rRNA from 1 species